rnacentral:rRNA from 1 species
CAGUAGCCGCGGUAAUACGUAGGUGGCAAGCGUUGUCCGGAAUUAUUGGGCGUAAAGGGCUCGCAGGCGGUUCCUUAAGUCUGAUGUGAAAGCCCCCGGCUCAACCGGGGAGGGUCAUUGGAAACUGGGAAACCUGAGUGCAGAAGAGGAGAGUGGAAUUCCACGUGUAGCGGUGAAAUGCGUAGAGAUGUGGAGGAACACCAGUGGCGAAGGCGACUCUCUGGUCUGUAACUGACGCUGAGGAGCGAAAGCGUGGGGAGCGAACAGGAUUAGAUACCCGCGUAGUCCCUGUCUCUUAUAC